UACGUAGGGGGCAAGCGUUGUCCGGAAUUAUUGGGCGUAAAGAGCUUGUAGGCGGUUUGUCGCGUCUGCUGUGAAAUUUCGGGGCUCAACCCCGAACUUGCAGUGGGUACGGGCAGACUAGAGUUGUGGUAGGGGAGACUGGAAUUCCUGGUGUAGCGGUGAAAUGCGCAGAUAUCAGGAGGAACACCGGUGGCGAAGGCGGGUCUCUGGGCCGAUACUGACCGCUGAGGAGCGAAAGCGUGGGGAGCGAACAGG
rnacentral:rRNA from 1 species